AUUGAACGCUGGCGGCAUGCUUUACACAUGCAAGUCGAACGGCAGCGCGGGGGCAACCCUGGCGGCGAGUGGCGAACGGGUGAGUAAUGCAUCGGAACGUAUCCUGUAAUGGGGGAUAACGUAGCGAAAGUUACGCUAAUACCGCAUACGCUCGAGAGAGGAAAGUGGGGGAUCGCAAGACCUCACGUUAUAGGAGCGGCCGAUGUCCGAUUAGCUAGUUGGUGGGGUAAAGGCCUACCAAGGCGACGAUCGGUAGCUGGUCUGAGAGGAUGAUCAGCCACACUGGGACUGAGACACGGCCCAGACUCCUACGGGAGGCAGCAGUGGGGAAUUUUGGACAAUGGGCGAAAGCCUGAUCCAGCCAUGCCGCGUGCGGAAGAAGGCCU
rnacentral:rRNA from 1 species